CUUCAAAAACCCCCACUUAACCUGAAAAAAACGCCAUUUCUCUUCGGAAAUCCCCCAUGUAACCCAAAAUGAUGCAUUUUCUCUUCAAGAAUCCCUGAUCUAACCUGAAAGUCACGCAUUUUCUUUUCAAAAAUCCCCUGUUUGAUCCAAAAACCACGAAUUUUCUCUUGGAAAAAUACACAAUCAAAAAAUCACCACUUUUCUCUAAAUGAAAAAAAAACCCAAACAUUCAACCCAGAAAUCAUGCAUUUUCUCUUCGAGAAUCUUCACUUUAACCUGACAGCCACGCAUUUUUACCACAAAAAUCCUCCAUUUAACCGAAAGUCGUGAAUUUUCUCUUCGAGAAUCCCCCAUUUAACCUGAUAAAAACGCAAUUUCUCUUCGGAAAUCUCCCAUUUACCCCCACAAUCAUACAGUUUCCUUCAAAAAUUACCCCAUUUAACCCAAAAAUCACGCAUUUUCUCUUCAAGAUUCCCCCAUUAAUCCCGAAAAUCACGCAUUUUCUCUUGGAAAAUCACCCUUUUAACGUGAAAAUCACUCAUUUUCUCUUCAAAAAUCCCUCAUUUCACCCCCAAAUCAAACGCUUUUGCUACAAGAAUCCCCAUUUAACCUGAAAAUCACGCAUUUCCUCGACAAAAAGCUCACAUGUAACCAAAAUCACACAUCUCUCUUCGAAAAUCCCCCAUUUAACCAGAAAGUCUUGCAUUUUCUCUUCGAGAAUCCCCCAUUUAACCUGAUAAAAACGCAAUUUCUCUUCGGAAACCUCCCAUUUACCCCCAAAUCUUACAUUUUCCUUCAAAAAUUACCCCAUUAACCCAAAAUCAGGCAUUUUCUCUUCGAGAAUCCCCAUUAAACCCAAAAAUCACGAUUUUCUCUUGGAAAGUCACCCUUUUAACUUGAAAAUCACUCAUUUCUCUCAAAAAUCCCUCAUUUCACCCCAAAUCAAACGCUUUCGCUACAAGAAUCCCCCAUUUAACCUGAAAACCACGCAUUUCCUCUACAUCAAUUCAUGUGUAAACGAAGAUCAUGCAUUAUCUUCUCCAAAAAUACCCCCUUAACCCUAAAAUCACCAUUUU
rnacentral:lncRNA from 7 species